rnacentral:rRNA from 1 species
CUAAGAAUCUUCCGCAAUGGGCGAAAGCCUGACGGAGCGACGCCGCGUGGACGAAGAAUGCCGAGAGGUUGUAAAGUCCUUUUCUUACUGAAGAAUAAUGAUUAUAGGAAAUGAUAGUCAGAUGACGUUAGGUGAGGAAUAAGCUCCGGCCAAUUACGUGCCAGCAGCCGCGGUAACACGUAAGGAGCGAGCGUUGUUCGGAAUUAUUGGGCGUAAAGGGCUUGUAGGCGGUUUAAUAAGUCUGAUGUAAAAGCCCGCAGCUUAACUGCGGAUCUGCUUUGGAAACUGUUAAACUUGAAUCAGUGAGGGGAUACUGGAAUUCCUAGUGUAGGGGUGAAAUCUGUUGAGAUUAGGAAGAACACCGGAGGCGAAGGCGAGUAUCUGGCGCAUGAUUGACGCUGAUGAGCGAAAGCGUAGGGAGCGAACA